AUGGAGCUGCUGAUGCAAAAGUCAGAGAGCCGUGUCUCUCUACAGUCAGAGGUUUUUGUACGACCACUCAAUGAGUUUGUAUCACUGUGGUGGACUUUUGGUGGAGGAACCAGACUGGAUGUUGGAAGUGAUGCUCGUCCCACCCUGACAGUGCUGCCCCCCUCCAGUGAGGAGCUGCAGCAAGGGAAGGCCACCCUCAUGUGUCUGGCCAACAAGGGCUUCCCCUCAGACUGGAGUCUGUCCUGGAAGGUGGACGGCAGCAGCAGCAGCUGGGAGGAGAACAAGAGCCGAGGAGUGCUGCAGAAGGACGGCCUCUACAGCUGGAGCAGCACCCUGAGGCUCCCUGCAGACCAGUGGAGGAAGGUGGGCUCUGUGACCUGUGAGGCCACCCAGGGCUCCCAGUCUGCAGUCACAGAGACACUGAGGAGAGACCAGUGUUCCCAGUGACAACCUGACUAGUUU